CCUACGGGUGGCUGCAGUGGGGAAUAUUGCACAAUGGGCGCAAGCCUGAUGCAGCCAUGCCGCGUGUGUGAAGAAGGCCUUCGGGUUGUAAAGCACUUUCAGCGGGGAGGAAGGCGGUGAGGUUAAUAACCUCAUCGAUUGACGUUACCCGCAGAAGAAGCACCGGCUAACUCCGUGCCAGCAGCCGCGGUAAUACGGAGGGUGCAAGCGUUAAUCGGAAUUACUGGGCGUAAAGCGCACGCAGGCGGUCUGUCAAGCCGGAUGUGAAAUCCCCGGGCUCAACCUGGGAACUGCAUUCGAAACUGGCAGGCUAGAGUCUUGUAGAGGGGGGUAGAAUUCCAGGUGUAGCGGUGAAAUGCGUAGAGAUCUGGAGGAAUACCGGUGGCGAAGGCGGCCCCCUGGACAAAGACUGACGCUCAGGUGCGAAAGCGUGGGGAGCAAACAGGAUUAGAUACCGGGUAGUC
rnacentral:rRNA from 1 species